CUGAAAGAGAGGAUGUUUAUCUUGGUCAUUGGGGAUGGGCCAUUACCAUUGUGACGUCGGCGCCCAUGGGUGCUCUCCCUUUUCAAAACGUUUUGAAAGACAAUGCAACCGUCCCAAUGGAAUAUUAUUGAAGCCCUGGUUGAAAAAGCCCCUAAAGAUUUAUGUUAUACAACGUUUGACAUGUUUGAACGAACUUAAAUAUAUAUUUUUUGCUCAUUCCUGACGACAAGUCAGACGCACACGGUACAUUUUCACUAGCCUUCGGAGCGCGCUAACACUAUUGGGACAUAAAUUAUUAACUUUUUUUAACAAAACUACAUUUGUUAUGGACCUGGGAUUCCUAGAAGUGCCUUCUGAUAAAGAUAAUCAAAGUGGAAUUCGAGUAUGAAAGCUAAGGAGAUGGAGAAAACACCUGUCUCCGGAUUACAUCUUCAAACUAAGGGCAACCAUGGCAUCUGUGACAGGGAGACACGUCCAUCCAUGAUGUAUACGGAUCUGUGCCUCGACACAAUCCUGUCUCAGAGCUCUACGGACAAUUCCUUCAACCUCACGGCUUGGUUUUUGCUCUGACAUGCACUGUCAACUGUGGGACCUUAUAUAAACAGGUGUGUGCCUUUCCAAAUCAUGUCCAAUCAAUUGAAUUUACCACAGGUGGACUCCAAUCAAGUUGUAGAAACAGGUCAAGGAUGAUCAAUGGAAACAGGAUGGACCUGAGCUCAAUUACGAGUCUCAAAGCAAAGGCUCUGAAUACUUAUGUAAAUAAGGUAUUUCUUUUAUUAAAUGUUUUAAAAUUUGCACAAAAAUGAUUUGAUCCAUUUUAGAAUAAGGCUGUAACGUAACAAAAUGUGGAAGAAGUCAAGGGGUCUGAAUACUUUCCGAAGGCAUUGUAUAGAGAAAGCAGUGGAGGCUGCUGAGGGGAGGACGGCUCACAAUAAUGCCAGGAACAGAGGAAAUGGAAUGGCAUCAAACACAUAGAGGCCAUGUGUUUGUUAUAUUUAAAACCAUUCGUCUUAUUCUGCUCCAGCCAUUACCACAAGCCUGUCCUCCCCAAUUAAGGUACCACCAACCUUCUGUGAUAGAGGUUAGUGGGAGAUAAAUUACAGUCAUUAUUUUUUUUCUCCUCCCUCUUUGUUGAAUGACAUUGAUAUGAGUUUGUUCUGUCGUGGUUAAGGAAACAAGUGGAUCAUGUUCUUAAAGUAUUUCUAAAGUAUUAUAAUCAGUCUACUGUAUGUAUUAUUAUUACUGUUGUCAAACCAAUGCUAAGGAUCUUACAUGGUUUAAUACCAAAACAAUUGCGUUAGUGCCAGCUGCACAUGUGAUAUUACAUUGAAUGUGGAGAGGUGACACAAAGGUCACAAAGUAACAGUACUUUAGUAACAGGCUUUAGAUUUAAAAAAAUGUUGCAUAGUUUGGAUUACUUGUAAGGGCACCUUGAUUAAGGGGAACAUUGUCUCUAUGGCAGAAUGCCAAAAUGAUUAUGAUUUAUUCAAUGGAUUAUAUAUUCUUUAUUGAAAAACACUGCAUGUUGAUGAUCUAUUCACAAGGGUGAUUUUGUUCAUUUCAAGGGGAAUAAUUUGAAAUUACAAAGAACCAGAAGACCCCCUAGAUAGAUAUAUGUCUGCAGGGUUGUAUUGUGAAGUCAAUAUAAAACCAGGUUUGGGUCAAUUUGGAAUUUCUGGAUUUAAUUCAAUUCAAACAAUGAUUCUUAAUUGAAUUUGAAUUGGCCACACCCCACAACAAGCAUAAUUUGAACUGAAUUUGAAUUGAAGGUAGUAGAAUUUAAUUCAAUCCAAUUCAAACCAAUUCAACUGAGAAGUGAAACUUAACAUUUUCAUUAAUUUGACAAAUCUUUUAUCAAAAGGAUAUGAUCCAUUAAUGCAAAGAAUACAAAUACUAUACCACUCAAAAAUGUCAAACAGUAUUUUUCUUUGUCACGAGAUGGGUUGUUCCACAAAAUAAGUGCCUUUUGCAUCCCUUUGAUAUUUUAAGUAGAAAUUGUGCACCAAUAUUACAUUACCCAAAUCUAACUGCCUGUAGCUCAGGACUUGAAGCAAGGAUAUGCAUAUUCUUAAUACCAUUUGAAAGGAAACACUUUGAAGUUUGUGGAAAUGUGAAAUGAAUGUAGGAGAAUAUUACACAUUUGAUCUGGUAAAAGAUAAUACCAAGAAAAAAAACAUGUUUAUAUAUAUUUUUUCUUUCAUCAUCUUUGAAAUGCAAGAGAAAGGUCACAAUGUAUUAUUCCAGUUCAGAAGCUAUUUAGAUUUUGGCCACUAGAUGGCAGCAGUGUAUGCGCAAUGCUUUAGACUUAUCCAAUGAACCAUUGCAUUUCUGUUCAAAAUGUUGUAUCAAGUCUGCCC
rnacentral:lncRNA from 1 species